AAAGCAGAAUUAAAACUCGGGCUGUGGUGAUCAGGGCAGGAAUUGAUGCGGUCAUUUUUUUAAAUCAAGUUUUCUAUUGAUUCUCUUUGUGGUUAAUCGAUAUAUCAAAUGAGAAAUGUUGCUCUGCAGCUGCAAAUUCCUCAGUUGUGAGACUAACAGGGGAUUGUCUCAUCUUAUUAAAUAGAUAUACAAGAAGUCCAUUAGAUUGGCUAUUACAUAUCAACUUACUAUGUUGAAGGGAGCAAAAAACAUCGACAGGUUUAGAGGCAGAUGGAUGGAUCGCACACAAAGGAAAGAGGACAGUCGAACCUACAUACACCCACUAUUAUUACGGUAUGAGUUUCAGUCACAGGUUAGCAACUCCUUGAAGGUCUUGUUGAACACUCCUUGACACACUGAGUGACACAACUUUUGAGAAACACAGUCAUCUCCUGCCGCAAACUGACUAGUUUAUAGGGCAUUCCUCUACCAGUGACCUCCUCAAUAAAACGCAUACUUGCAGAGUUCACAUCCCAAACCUCAGAGAUGGCAAGUGUGUGGCCUCAUCUUGAAUACAUGGCAGAUUGCUACUGAGCAAAGCUGUGCUGUCAGCCUGCAAAUUGGCUGUGAAUGUCCUCAAGUUCUCUUGCCAAGACAAGUUGUGUCGGUUAGAGAAAAUCAGUCCUUUGCACAGAGAGCUGACUUGGGUUAGCAAACUGUCAGCUGAUUAUGAGAUGAGAUUUUAGGAAGCUACCAGAUCAUUGCAAAGCAAGUGAUAGCAGGUCUCCACUCCUCUUCAAUUCUCUUAAGUGAAGUGUACUAUGUCUGUAGAACCGUGUUCAAGUAAGCAGCUACACCGACAGACAUCAAAAAGAUGCCAGACUCUGAUUUUGUUGAUAGGAUUUUAAAUGACAGACACAUUUCUCAAGAAGAUCUAUGGUUCAGGUCGACAACGGAAUAAUGCAUCAGGCUCAAGAAUGAUGGUUAGCUUGGAAUUACCAUAAAAAUAGAGAGGCCAAAUUCACCAGAUAACAAAGCAUGUGCCAUCAACCUGCGCCAGUGCCUAGAUAUAAAGCCAAGAAGAAAUAAAUGGUGUUAUGAGGACUUCAAGAAGAUAUUGGAUGAGACCAUAAUGUGAAAGGAUGCAGAAAUUCUUCCAGGGCAAGAAUCUGGCAUGUCUCUAAGCAUGGUACAUCCCACAGCAUGGGGUAUAUCACCUGCAAAAACUUGGGAUAAUGUGUUGUUGUUGGUUGCUCAGCGAGGUUUCAAGAGAUUUUCAUUUUCAAUGACUAUUCCCAGACUGGUCCUCUGUUGUUUUUUUGGAAAGGUCCUUUGUCGAUCAUGGGUAAUUUAGAGAUUUUUCCACCAGGUUUAUAUGAUAGCAGAAGACCAAGAUUGUGUAAGAUUCCUGUAGAACGAGAAUCAUACCUAGCAUGUCAACGACAGGAUGAAACUUCACUUGUUUGGCACGGCUUCUUCACCAGGCUACGCCAACUACGGGGCUGAAAAAUCUUGCCUCUGAUGAACCAGAUACCGCCUGGUUCAUCUGAAGAACAUUCAUGCUGUUGAUGGUUUGAAAAGCAUAGUACUAGUAGCUAUAAGUGAAGCAAUCCAGCUGUCAAUGGGGAGAAUUCUGCAACACUGGUGCAUGUUGUUUGCAGAAGUUUACGAAAGGGAAGUCCUGACACUAAUUCGAAAAGAAGACUGUGCUGAUACUGCAAAGAACCUUGAUACGGCAUCGGUUUCACUACACAUAGCAAGAGCAGUUGGCGUACAGUAAUGCAUUGAUUCUGACAAGUUGUGAGUAGUAUAAAUAGUAGUAAGGCCCCAAAUCAAACCCCCUUCUCCAUGAUCCCCCUUGUGGCUCAGUAUCUCAUCUAUUAAAAACCACAAUCAGAAAGUGAAGUCAAUUUAAUUUGCAAAGCGCUUUAAAAACCGCUUUCCUGUGCACAGGUGAAAUAAAACUGUACAGAGACAUAAAAGAUUAUGAUAAUCCAACACAAUUGUAUUUCUCAUAAUACUCAUUUUACAUGCACAUGAAAAACUAAACAAAUAACAGUGUGCUGUGAGCUGCGCUUUGACACAAAUAUGUUCAGUCAGCAUAUUCGAUAAAGCGGGGCGGUAGGCUCUACAAACUGGGCCCCACAACUGAAACAGAAGCAAUUCAUUUCCAGGGGUAGAGGCCAUUAACUCAGCUCCAGCUGCAGGUAGUGGUAGGUGACAGCACUACAGCUUAGACACAAUAUAUGAUCUACAUUCUAGGCAUACCGUAAUGGAAGUAGAUAAUAAAACACAAAAUUACAAUCAGAAAUUGUUAUAAAUUAAUAAUCGAUUCAGCUGACAUGUAAUUUCAACGCCGACUUGCAAGGGUGACAACAUCAUUAAAUCUACUUAAUGCUCACACCUCUAGUGGUCCUCAGCUUACGCUGAGCCAUAAGGAAGAUCAGGAAGGCUGUUCAGGAGACUCGGGUUGGGGUUGAGGAUAUGAAAAGGUCCGUGUCAGCAGUUCUCCCUAACAGUGAACAGCCUGAGCUAAGACCCAAUUCAAUCCUCCUAGACAUGGAACAGCUGGCAUGGACUUCCUUCAAACCACAAGUUCAUCUUCUCCACAACCUCUUGAUGUCUUAGCUAUCUUAUCUCUAUCUCUAUCUCUAUGUAUAAUUGCUUUCUGCUCUUAAUACUAACCUGUUACCUGUUGGCCCCGCUGAUUACAUGUCAAGAGGGCUUGACACGGAUGUCCACCCUCAUAUAUUUUUGGUUUAAGCUGCUGUGACGUUGCAGGAAACUCUGAGGAGGAGAUAUUAGAAUCAAAAAAGGAAUAUCCCUGAUGAAGGAAAUUCACAGUGCCGGCUGUAGGCUUCACUUAAGAUCUGUCGUUUUAAUUGGCUAGAGAUAAUUAUAGCUGUGUGACACAGGUCGCAGGCAAAUUGGCUGUUCUGGCAUGAGAAACAGGCGGUUUCCAAUUAUGUAACCAAAAGCAUUCUCUCCCCCCUGCCCCUGCCUCCUUCUUUUCCGUGUUUGUACAGAGCACGUUGAAUUGGGUAUAAGAGGUAAAUGCAUAACUUCAAACACUGUGUCACGGAUAAAAGAUCAAAUGAGAAAGAAAUACAGAAAACACAGUGUAGUGGUAAGAAGUUUACCAAGUGGUAAAAAUUAAACAACCUAGUAUUGAAAAACAAUAACAUCAUAGAUCAGAGAAUUGCUCAAGGGUGCUUCACUUAAGCUUCGGACCAACAGAGAUACGCAUACUAAUGUUACUGUCUCUGGGUUUUGAGAGUUUUUCUUCAGCGAUGAUGGAAUUUCUGUCAGCAGUGAUGUCUCCAAACAGUAGGCUGAUAAUGUGUUGUCUGUCCUGGCACUAUGUCCAUCGGCUUCAAAGCCUUGUAGUGCACUCCCCCUGAGGCUUGGUUGGACCUCAUCUCAGUCAGGCACAGUGAGCUUCUGAAGUAAUCGCUGGAUUGAUGGAUGCUGUCGUGUGGAAGCCAGUGAUCCUGAGUGAUUUCUGUUUUUUUAUCAGACGCUCCGCUUAUUUAUCUGAUUAUCAGAUAAUGGCUGUUUUUUUUUUUCUCUCUUAAGAUUUUGACUUUUUAAAACAGAUUUAUUCAUCUCAUUAUCUCAAGGGAACGAGUCAUUUUUCCUCAUGAUGCUAGCAUAAUGUUCUAUCUACAAAUUACAACAAUAGACUGGUUGUUGUGAUGGACCAGACCAGGACACGCCAUGCUACCAGUGCACACACUGAUGAGGUUUGGUAAGCCUCUUUGUAAUUGUUUUAUGCCUUUACAAUUCUGAUAAUACCGGUGCUUUCAUACCCAAUCUUUUUGGUUGCGGUAAACACAAAACUCAAGUCAAUUUACUAAAUUCCUUUGUACUGCUGUGAAAGCUGGCAUCCAAACCCAACUCGACCAAGCAACUGUACCAAGACACUGUAUAUAGAACGGACGUCAUCUGCUUGCUUGCUAGGUGAAGCAUCUGUGAGAACAGCACCCCCUGGUGAUGGGCUGCAGUAUAGGUCAUAAAUCAGGGGCGGCUGUAUCUCAGGAGGUAGAGCGUUUUUUUCAGCGGAAGGUUGGCGAUUUGAUUCCCCCCUAUCCCAAGUC